rnacentral:rRNA from 1 species
AUUGAACGCUGGCGGCAGGCUUAACACAUGCAAGUCGAGCGAGCGGCGGACGGGUGAGUAAUGUCUGGGAAACUGCCUGAUGGAGGGGGAUAACUACUGGAAACGGUAGCUAAUACCGCAUACCAUCAGAUGUGCCCAUAUGGGAUUAGCUAGUAGGUGGGGUAAUGGCUCACCUAGGCGACGAUCCCUAGCUGGUCUGAGAGGACGACCAGCCACACUGGGACUGAGACACGGUCCAGACUCCUACGGGAGGCAGCAGUGGGGAAUAUUGGACAAUGGGCGAAAGCCUGAUGCAGCCAUGCCGCGUGUGUGAAGAAGGACUUCGGGUUGUAAAGCACUUGUAGCAGGGAGGCGUUAUUCGCAGAAGAAGCACCGGCUAACUCCGUGCCAGCAGCCGCGGUAAUUC